rnacentral:rRNA from 1 species
AACGCUGGCGGCGUGCUUAACACAUGCAAGUCGAACGGGAAACAUUUUAUUGAAGCUUCGGCAGAUUUAGCUUGUUUCUAGUGGCGGACGGGUGAGUAACGCGUGGGUAACCUGCCUUAUACUGGGGGAUAACAGCCAGAAAUGACUGCUAAUACCGCAUAAGCGCACAGAACCGCAUGGUUCCGUGUGAAAAACUCCGGUGGUAUAAGAUGGACCCGCGUUGGAUUAGCUAGUUGGCAGGGCAGCGGCCUACCAAGGCGACGAUCCAUAGCCGGCCUGAGAGGGUGAACGGCCACAUUGGGACUGAGACACGGCCCAGACUCCUACGGGAGGCAGCAGUGGGGAAUAUUGCACAAUGGGGGAAACCCUGAUGCAGCGACGCCGCGUGAAGGAAGAAGUAUCUCGGUAUGUAAACUUCUAUCAGCAGGGAAGAUAAUGACGGUACCUGACUAAGAAGCCCCGGCUAACUACGUGCCAGCAGCCGCGGUAAUACGUAGGGGGCAAGCGUUAUCCGGAUUUACUGGGUGUAAAGGGAGCGUAGACGGCGCAGCAAGUCUGAUGUGAAAGGCAGGGGCUUAACCCCUGGACUGCAUUGGAAACUGCUGUGCUUGAGUGCCGGAGGGGUAAGCGGAAUUCCUAGUGUAGCGGUGAAAUGCGUAGAUAUUAGGAGGAACACCAGUGGCGAAGGCGGCUUACUGGACGGUAACUGACGUUGAGGCUCGAAAGCGUGGGGAGCAAACAGG